rnacentral:siRNA from 1 species
AUGGUAUCUGAUGGCGUGCC